GACGAACGCUGGCGGCGUGCUUAACACAUGCAAGUCGAACGAAGAGCGAUGGAUGCUUGCUUCUAUCAAUCUUAGUGGCGAACGGGUGAGUAACGCGUAAUCAACCUGCCCUUCAGAGGGGGACAACAGUCGGAAACGACUGCUAAUACCGCAUACGAUCUAAUCUCGGCAUCGAGGAUAGAUGAAAGGUGGCCUCUACAUGUAAGCUAUCACUGAAGGAGGGGAUUGCGUCUGAUUAGCUAGUUGGAGGGGUAACGGCCCACCAAGGCGAUGAUCAGUAGCCGGUCUGAGAGGAUGAACGGCCACAUUGGGACUGAGACACGGCCCAGACUCCUACGGGAGGCAGCAGUGGGGAAUCUUCCGCAAUGGACGAAAGUCUGACGGAGCAACGCCGCGUGAGUGAUGACGGCCUUCGGGUUGUAAAGCUCUGUUAAUCGGGACGAAAGGCCUUCUUGCGAAUAGUGAGAAGGAUUGACGGUACCGGAAUAGAAAGCCACGGCUAACUACGUG
rnacentral:rRNA from 1 species